rnacentral:rRNA from 1 species
AUUGAACGCUGGCGGCAUGCCUUACACAUGCAAGUCGAACGGUAACGGGUCCUUCGGGAUGCCGACGAGUGGCGAACGGGUGAGUAAUAUAUCGGAACGUGCCCAGUAGGGGGGGAUAACUGCGCGACAGAGCAGCUAAUACCGCAUACGACCUGAGGGUGAAAGGGGGGGAUCGCAAAACCUCUCGCUAUUGGAGCGGCCGAUAUCAGAUUAGCUAGUUGGUGGGGUAAAGGCCUACCAAGGCAACGAUCUGUAGUUGGUCUGAGAGGACGACCAGCCACACUGGGACUGAGACACGGCCCAGACUCCUACGGGAGGCAGCAGUGGGGAAUUUUGGACAAUGGGCGCAAGCCUGAUCCAGCAAUGCCGCGUGCAGGAAGAAGGCCUUCGGGUUGUAAACUGCUUUUGUCAGGGAAGAAAUCUUCUGGGCUAAUACCCCGGGAGGAUGACGGUACCUGAAGAAUAAGCACCGGCUAACUACGUGCCAGCAGCCGCCGUAA